rnacentral:rRNA from 1 species
UACAGAGGGGGCAAGCGUUGUUCGGAAUUACUGGGCGUAAAGGGCGCGUAGGCGGCCUUCUAAGUCGAACGUGAAAUCCCAGGGCUCAACCCGGGAACUGCGUCCGAUACUGGAAGGCUUGAAUCCGGGAGAGGGAUGCGGAAUUCCAGGUGUAGCGGUGAAAUGCGUAGAUAUCUGGAGGAACACCGGUGGCGAAGGCGGCAUCCUGGACCGGCAUUGACGCUGAGGCGCGAAAGCCAGGGGAGCAAACGGG